rnacentral:rRNA from 1 species
AUUGAACGCUGGCGGCAGGCCUAACACAUGCAAGUCGAGCGGAUGAAGGGAGCUUGCUCCUGGAUUCAGCGGCGGACGGGUGAGUAAUGCCUAUGAAUCUGCCUGGUAGUGGGGGAUAACGUCCGGAAACGGGCGCUAAUACCGCAUACGUCCUGAGGGAGAAAGUGGGGGAUCUUCGGACCUCACGCUAUCAGAUGAGCCUAGGUCGGAUUAGCUAGUUGGUGGGGUAAAGGCCUACCAAGGCGACGAACCGUAACUGGUCUGAGAGGAUGAUCAGUCACACUGGAACUGAGACACGGUCCAGACUCCUACGGGAGGCAGCAGUGGGGAAUAUUGGACAAUGGGCGAAAGCCUGAUCCAGCCAUGCCGCGUGUGUGAAGAAGGUCUUCGGAUUGUAAAGCACUUUAAGUUGGGAGGAAGGGCAGUAAAUUAAUACCUUGCUGUUUUGACGUUACCAACAGAAUAAGCACCGGCUAACUUCGUG